GAUGAACGCUGGCGGCGUGCCUAAUACAUGCAAGUCGAGCGAACAGAUGAGGAGCUUGCUCCUCUGACGUUAGCGGCGGACGGGUGAGUAACACGUGGAUAACCUACCUAUAAGACUGGGAUAACUUCGGGAAACCGGAGCUAAUACCGGAUAAUAUAUUGAACCGCAUGGUUCAAUAGUGAAAGACGGUUUUGCUGUCACUUAUAGAUGGAUCCGCGCCGCAUUAGCUAGUUGGUAAGGUACCGGCUUACCAAGGCAACGAUGCGUAGCCGACCUGAGAGGGUGAUCGGCCACACUGGAACUGAGACACGGUCCAGACUCCUACGGGAGGCAGCAGUAGGGAAUCUUCCGCAAUGGGCGAAAGCCUGACGGAGCAACGCCGCGUGAGUGAUGAAGGUCUUCGGAUCGUAAAACUCUGUUAUUAGGGAAGAACAAAUGUGUAAGUAACUAUGCACGUCUUGACGGUACCUAAUCAGAAAGCCACGGCUAACUACGUG
rnacentral:rRNA from 1 species